rnacentral:tRNA from 1 species
GAAAGGUUAGUUAAAAUAAUAUUAGUAUGUCACGCUAAAGUUAGGAGUUCAACCUCCUACCUUUUA